CCUACGGGAGGCAGCAGUAGGGAAUCUUCCGCAAUGGACGAAAGUCUGACGGAGCAACGCCGCGUGAGCGAUGAAGGCCUUCGGGUCGUAAAGCUCUGUUGUCAGGGAAGAAUAAGUACCGGAGUAACUGCCGGUACCUUGACGGUACCUGACCAGAAAGCCACGGCUAACUACGUGCCAGCAGCCGCGGUAAUACGUAGGUGGCAAGCGUUGUCCGGAAUUAUUGGGCGUAAAGCGCGCGCAGGCGGUUCCUUAAGUCUGAUGUGAAAGCCCCCGGCUCAACCGGGGAGGGUCAUUGGAAACUGGGGAACUUGAGUGCAGAAGAGGAGAGCGGAAUUCCACGUGUAGCGGUGAAAUGCGUAGAGAUGUGGAGGAACACCAGUGGCGAAGGCGGCUCUCUGGUCUGUAACUGACGCUGAGGCGCGAAAGCGUGGGGAGCGAACAGGAUUAGAUACCCUGGUAGUCCACGCCGUAAACGAUGAGUGCUAAGUGUUAGAGGGUUUCCGCCCUUUAGUGCUGCAGCAAACGCAUUAAGCACUCCGCCUGGGGAGUACGGCCGCAAGGCUGAAACUCAAAGGAAUUGACGG
rnacentral:rRNA from 1 species